AUAUAUGGAGUGGGUUCCCGCAUAGCAGCGACUUCCCGGAUGAGCACUUGCCCGGUAGACCAGCUCAUUGGCGAUCUUUCCGCGCGAAAAGUGACAUAGGACACCGUACUGAUAGAGUCCGCUCGUUUGGCCUUUUCGCAGCAUCAUGGCACAGCCGACAUGGGCAGCCAAAUCUUGGACCAGCUGGGUGAAGUAGCCGCGACACUGUCUGCAAUCGUGGAUUAGAUAUACAUCAACCUCUUGAAUCUCUCACUCUCACCCAUCCUUGGCCGGUUUCUCGGCAUUGAUGUGGGCCAUCGUGCAGCCCUUAACAUCAUCCAUCCAAAACUGCAAGACAAAGUCCAAAACGGAUAUGGGAUCCUUCUCCAGUUGCAACCACUUGGUACUGCCAUAUAUAUACGACACAUAGCUGAACUCAUCCGUAUUGCUGCAGUAAUCGUCUAUAUAGUCACAACGCCUCAAGGCAAACUUGGCCAACCCGGCCAGUUCCUCGUGCCACCGGAGUGUUGCCAUCCGGGAAGCUGGACGCAAGUGCGGAUACUGACCCUUAGCCACGGUAUUCCGAAAAUCGUUUAGGACGGCCAGGAGAUGGGCACGCAUGUGCAUGGGAAACUUCAUGAUGAUCGCUUCACUGCCACAACUCUCGUCAAAGUCCUGCGAAACUCAGACAGUUACUGAGCAACUUGAUGGGAAGCCAAACUUACGCCAUAAUUGCGGCAAGCGAUAUGCGUUAUUUCCGGCAGACACAGAUCCUUGUUGCAGUAAUCCGUAGAUAACGCCUCCUGGCUGAUAAGGACUAUUAUAAGGACUGAAAGAAGGUACAACAUCUGGUGCCGAUUGCUGGAGUCAAAAUACAAAACUAUUUUGAAGAAAACUGAUCUAUCUAUACAGCGUAAAAUCCAUUGUAACUGCCUAAAUGCAGCGUGACAAUUCUAUAAUAUAUAGAGCUAUUACUAGUUUUAUUUCCAACAGACAGCCAUAUUCAACAAGGAAUCCAAAAAGCUAGAAGGUUAUUAUUAAGAUAUAAAAUUUACAAUAUGUGUAAAACAUUGGAAUUUCGCAUGACUCAAUUAAAUCAAGGUAAUAAAAACAUAAAACAUAAUUGCGCAUCUCAACUAAGAAAAUAAUAAAUAAAAACUUUCGAUUGGAAUGUAAAU
ensembl:ncRNA asRNA:CR45468 antisense RNA:CR45468